rnacentral:rRNA from 1 species
UACGUAGGGGGCAAGCGUUGUCCGGAUUUAUUGGGCGUAAAGAGCGUGUAGGCGGCUUUACAGGUCCGUUGUGAAAACUCGAGGCUCAACCUCGAGAUGUCGGCGGAAACCAUCUGGCUAGAGUCCGGAAGAGGAGAGUGGAAUUCCUGGUGUAGCGGUGAAAUGCGCAGAUAUCAGGAAGAACACCUAUGGCGAAGGCAGCUCUCUGGGACGGUACUGACGCUGAGACGCGAAAGCGUGGGGAGCGAACAGG